rnacentral:rRNA from 1 species
CGUAGGUGGCAAGCGAUACUCGGAAUCACUAGGCGUAAAAGCGCAGGUAGGCGGUUUGGUAAGUCUUUUGUGAAAGCUCCCGGCUUAAACUCGGGAGAGGUCAAGGGAAACUACCGGACUAGAGUAGUGGUAGGGGAUACUGGAAUUCCUGGUGUAGCGGUGAAAUGCGUAGAUAUCAGGAGGAAUACCUAUGGCGAAAGCAGGUAUCUGGGCCAUCACUGACGCUGAGCUGCGAAAGCUAGGGGAGCAAACAGGAUUAGAUACCCUGGUAGUCCUAGCCCUAAACGAUGCUCAUUAGAUGUGGGAGUAUCGACCCUUCGACGUCGCAGCUAACGCAUUAAAUGAGCCGCCUGGGGAUACGGCCGCAAGGUUG